ACUGAAAUGCACUGGGAAGGGGGACUUAGAUACUAACACAAGUUCAAUUCAAGAAGCAUUUAUUGAACCGUCCUCAUGAGCCAGGUCAGGGUGUUCAGCACUGAGCGUGUCAAGACGAAGACACAUAGCCUCUAAGUGUCCACCAUCUACAAUAGCUAAUGUUUAAUUGUCCUUAAAAGUUGAAGAAUGUUGACUGGAUUGUCUGCAAAUCAGUCAUGUGAGUAGUGUUAAUCUAAUGAAGAAGAAUCUUAAAAGACAAAUUCUCCAAAUGCUGCUGCUCCUGCAUCCUGCUGCUCUACCUGCUGUGGGGAGGAGGCAUUGGGAAUUAGUGUUAAACAAGACACAAAAUGUGUGCUCUCA
rnacentral:lncRNA from 10 species